rnacentral:rRNA from 1 species
AGAUUGAACGCUGGCGGCAGGCCUAACACAUGCAAGUCGAGCGGUAGAGAGGUGCUUGCAUCUCUUGAGAGCGGCGGACGGGUGAGUAAUGCCUAGGAAUCUGCCUAGUGGUGGGGGAUAACGUUCGGAAACGGACGCUAAUACCGCAUACGUCCUACGGGAGAAAGCGGGGGACCUUCGGGCCUCGCGCCAUUAGAUGAGCCUAGGUCGGAUUAGCUAGUUGGUGAGGUAAUGGCUCACCAAGGCGACGAUCCGUAACUGGUCUGAGAGGAUGAUCAGUCACACUGGAACUGAGACACGGUCCAGACUCCUACGGGAGGCAGCAGUGGGGAAUAUUGGACAAGUGGGU